rnacentral:tRNA from 1 species
GGGGUAGUAGCUCAGUGGUAGAGCUCCCGAUUCAUACGUGGGAAGGUCUGGGUUCCAUUCCCGGCUGCCUUC